UUUCCGUAGGUGAACCUGCGGAAGGAUCAUUACAAAUCUUUUGCGAGUGCUGCGUGCUUAACUGUGCGUAGCAUCUCACAACAUUAGCACAAGGUCGCAAGACCUUGAUGUUUACGCUUGUUUGUUUGACAGAGUUAGUUGAGACAAUAAAAAAGACAACUUUUAACAAUGGAUCUCUUGGCUCUUGCAUCGAUGAAGAACGCAGC
rnacentral:misc_RNA from 1 species